UACGUAGGGCGCAAGCGUUGUCCGGAAUUAUUGGGCGUAAAGAGCUCGUAGGCGGCUCAGUAAGUCGGGUGUGAAAUCUUACAGCUUAACUGUGAACUUGCUUUCGAUACGGGCAGACUUGAGGUAUUCAGGGGAGAACGGAAUUCCUGGUGUAGCGGUGAAAUGCGCAGAUAUCAGGAGGAACACCGGUGGCGAAGGCGGUUCUCUGGGAAUAUUCUGACGCUGAGGAGCGAAAGUGUGGGGAGCGAACAGG
rnacentral:rRNA from 1 species